UCCAUGUUGGGCCAGGAGACUUCAGAUCCAUGUCCUGGUGCUGCCUCUGGCUUUGUCUUUCCUCAGUGGGCAGGACUGGGUCUGCUAGUCCAUCUUUACCCUUCUCUGAGCUAUGCAGCCUUGGCCUGCUGCGUCUCCAGCCUGUAUUCUCUCCCCUUCACUCAGGCCCUGGGAAACCAGCCCAGUUUCUGGCAGGAGAGGCAGAGGAGGGCGAUGCCUUUGCUCUGGGCUUCCUGAGCACCAGCAGUGGUGUCUCUGGAGAAGAUGAAGUAGAGCCCUUACACGGUGGAGUUGAAGAGGCAGAGAAAAAGAUGGAAGAAGAAGGUGUGAGUAUGAGUGAAAUGGAGGCAACAGGAGCACAAGGACCCAGCAGGGUAGAAGAGGCCGAGGGACACACAGAGGUGACAGAAGCAGAGGGAUCCCAGGGGACUGCUGAGGCUGACGGGCCAGGAGCAUCUUCAGGGGAUGAGGAUGCCUCUGGCAGGGCAGCAAGUCCAGAGUCGGCCUCCAGCACCCCUGAGUCUCUCCAGGCCAGGCGACAUCAUCAGUUUAUUGAGCCAGCCCCAGCGCCUGGUGCUGCAGUCUUAUCUUCAGAGCCUGCAGAGCCUCUGUUGGUCAGGCAUCCCCCUAGGCCCCGGACCACCGGCCCCAGGCCCCGGCAAGAUCCCCACAAGGCUGGACUGAGCCACUAUGUGAAACUCUUUAGCUUCUAUGCCAAGAUGCCCAUGGAGAGGAAGGCUCUUGAGAUGGUGGAGAAGUGGUGAGUCCUGGGCACGUGGGGUAGGGAGAGGAACCCCUCGGGUCAUGAUCAGACUGUUCAGCCUGCUCUAUCCCCACCUUCUUGACAGCCUAGAUAAAUAUUUCCAGCAUCUUUGUGAUGAUCUGGAGGUAUUUGCUGCUCAUGCUGGCCGCAAGACUGUGAAGCCAGAGGACCUGGAGCUGCUGAUGCGGCGGCAGGGCCUGGUCACUGACCAAGUCUCACUGCACGUGCUAGUGGAGCGGCACCUGCCCCUGGAGUACCGGCAGCUGCUCAUCCCCUGCGCAUACAGUGGCAACUCUGUCUUCCCUGCCCAGUAGUGGCCAGGCUUCAACACUUUCCCUGUCCCCACCUGGGGCCUCUUGCCCCCACAUAUUUCUCCAGGUCUCCUCCCCACCCCCC
rnacentral:sRNA from 1 species